rnacentral:rRNA from 1 species
AGUGAACGCUGGCGGUAGGCCUAACACAUGCAAGUCGAACGGCAGCACAGUAAGAGCUUGCUCUUACGGGUGGCGAGUGGCGGACGGGUGAGGAAUACAUCGGAAUCUACUUUUUCGUGGGGGAUAACGUAGGGAAACUUACGCUAAUACCGCAUACGACCUACGGGUGAAAGCAGGGGAUCUUCGCACCUUGCGCGAUUGAAUGAGCCGAUGUCGGAUUAGCUAGUUGGCGGGGUAAAGGCCCACCAAGGCGACGAUCCGUAGCUGGUCUGAGAGGAUGAUCAGCCGCACUGGAACUGAGACACGGUCCAGACUCCUACGGGAGGCAGCAGUGGGGAAUAUUAGACAAUGGGCGCAAGCCUGAUCCAGCCAUACCGCGUGGGUGAAGAAGGCCUUCGGGUUGGAAAGCCCUUUUGUUGGGAAAGAAAAGCAGCAGGUUAAUACCCCGCUGUUCUGACGGUACCCAAUGAAUAAGCACCGGCUAACUUCGUG